rnacentral:rRNA from 1 species
CUACGGGGUGCUGCAGUGGGGAAUAUUGCACAAUGGGCGCAAGCCUGAUGCACCCAUGCCGCGUGUAUGAAGAAGGCCUUCGGGUUGUAAAGUACUUUCAGCGGGGAGGAAGGGAGUAAAGUUAAUACCUUUGCUCAUUGACGUUACCCGCAGAAGAAGCACCGGCUAACUCCGUGCCAGCAGCCGCGGUAAUACGGAGGGUGCAAGCGUUAAUCGGAAUUACUGGGCGUAAAGCGCACGCAGGCGGUUUGUUAAGUCAGAUGUGAAAUCCCCGGGCUCAACCUGGGAACUGCAUCUGAACUGGCAAGCUUGAGUCUCGUAGAGGGGGGUAGAAUUCCAGGUGUAGCGGUGAAAUGCGUAGAGAUCUGGAGGAAUACCGGUGGUGAAGGCGGCCCCCUGGACGAAGACUGACGCUCAGGUGCGAAAGCGUGGGGAGCAAACAGGAUUAGAUACCCCGGUAGUC